CUUUGGAGCGUCACUUUUCUCUGAUUCAUACUUUCCAAACCUUUCCCCUGAACUCUACAGAUUUAAGACAUCAGGUUUCAAACUGGAUCAUUUUUCUCUAAAAUCUCAUUAUUUCCUCUUUAUUUAGGUUAAUGAGCUGCAGUUUGACAGAGAUCAGCUGUUCUUCUCUGGCCUCAGCUCUGAAGUCCAACCCCUCCCAUCUGAAAACUCUGUGGCUGAUGGGAAACAAUCUGCAGGAUUCAGAUCUGAAGCCGCUGCGUGAUCUUCAGAAGAGUCUAGACUACAGACUGGAGGAUCUGGGGUCAGUAUAGAGUUGGAGUUAGUCUGUGCUGAUCUCUCCUGUUCCUCUCCACACAGUAUCACAGCAGAUAUUCAGUAUUUCCUGCUGACUCUUCGACCCUCUCAGAGGAUUCUUUCUUUAGUGAAGCUGUGAGAACAGAAAUCAUCAAACCAGGAGUGUAAGAGUGUCAGUCAUGAAAAAAGUGUCUCCUCGUCUCUAUAUUUCAGAUCAAAUGUAGAAAUGAGACAUAAUGAAACAGAAAUGUUCAGUUUCUGCUCUGAAGUCCAGUUUAUAGUUCUCUGUAUUCAACACAGACUUUAUUUCUCUGCUAACUUGUUGAUUUUGAGCUCUAAGUUUGAAAACAGACAGCUGUUCUUUAUACUUGUUCUUUUCACAGCAGGUUUGUUACUUCAGCUUUAACACAUUUGACAGGAAGGAUUUCUUUAUUUUGAUGAUGUUGGUUUAUUUGUGAGGAAACCUGCUGCUGUACACCAUCACUUCUGGUCUGAGCAGGACUGGAACCUGCUGGUCUGUAAACUGGAUGUUCUUCAGUCCAGCUGAUGAAGUGAGUCUCAGAGUGGAAACACUGAUCGUCUGUUUUUCUCUCCUCAGGUGGAGUUAACAUCUGUCAGAGUGAUUAAGAAGAGGAUCAUCUGUCUUCUGACGAUCAGAGAGGUGGAGGCAGCAGCAGUGAGGGUGAGGUGAGUCUCUGACUGGGCCGUGUUACUGAGAGACUGACUGACCAAUCACAGCGGGCGGAGAGGAUUGUGGGAGCUGCACUUUGACCUGCUCUGAGAUCAGCUCAGGACCUGGACUCUGGAUAUUUGAUCUUUUCCCUCAUAUUCUGGGAUCAAACAGUCUGAACAGAUUUGUUUUGUUGAUGGAAACAUGAUCAUACAUUCACCCACUGAUUGGAUUACUUUUUUUUUGCCUAUGAUGCAGCGCCACCUAGUGGAAAUAUAAAGCGGUGGAGUUGAUUUAUUCCCACAGACUUCUGCAGCAGUAGUUGAUACCAUGUGUGACAGCAGAUCAGUCAGAAGUUCUGAUUAAACCCAAAGGUUAUUCUUUCCUUUGCACCGUCAGAUAUAAACUGAAGGGAGAGGAAGAGAACUGAGGAGAGAUGGAGGUGAAGGGAGGAGGACAGGGUUUGGGGUUUCAGAAAAAUCAGAAGCUUUAUUCUUUUAUUUGCUUAUAUUUAUUUAUCUGUUUACUUUUUAAAUUUCUGAAAUGAUUUUCAGUAUUGACUGGAGGUGGAUUGACCUUAGUUUUUAUUAUUAGACAUUAUUUUUUUUCUCUUUACAUGUUUUUGUUCUCAUAUAAUCUUUGAACUCAUCAAUAAUUAAUUCCCUCCUGUUUGGAUGAACAAACACAAUUAUUAAACCAUAAAUGAGACCUGAAUGUAAAAGUAAAAUGUGUGAAAUAUAAUUUGUCAAAGUAAAGAUUCUUUAACAAGAAAACUUGAUCUAGUUUAUUAUGAUGGAGACGUUUUCCUCUGACAGACUAAAAUUAUCGGAUUGACUCGAGUCUGGAAAAAGUGUGAUCAGCAUCUAUUCAGGGUGAAGUCAUUAAUACGGUUGAUGCUGUUUUAUAAACUCAGUGUUGUUGAUUACAAUCUCAGCUUCAUAAAUUUGAUGCUACAGUGGAGUGACUUCCUGUAAAAUCCACUGGCUUUGUGAGACCGUUAGCUUUCAGGAGAUAAGUUUGUGUUUCUGUGACACUCCAGAGCUUUUCUAUCCCACAGAGAAGAUCGGUUUGUUUUCAGAGACCUUCUUGAUCCCAUCCCUCCAAAAUGAAAAUAAUCUGAUGAUUUAUGGAUUAAUUUCAGUAACAAAGUGUCAUUUCUGUUGUAAACCAAUUAGAGGCUGUAUCUGCUAUCAGCUGACCUGUAAAGGUCCAAUCAGAAGCCAGAACAGCUCAUCACAGUUCGCUUAUCUAGUAUCAAUAGAUCUGUGCUCUGUCUGCGUAGCAGUAUGUUUAUGCUUCAUUUACACCAGAUCAUUUUUUAUUUAAUUUCACUGUCACAAUGUCAUUUGAAAACAAUAAAAACUUUAUUUGAACUAAAACAUGUUAAAAACAUCAA
rnacentral:lncRNA from 1 species